GAUUCCCUCAGUAGCGGCGAGCGAAGAGGGAGGAGCCCAGCGCUGAACCCCGCGGUCCGAGCGGCCGCCGGGGAAUGUGGCGUUAGGGAGCGCCCGCCUAUCCCCGGCGCGCGCGGCGAGCCCAAGUCCAUCUUGAACGGGGCCACGGCCCGCAGAGGGUGCCAGGCCCGUAGCGGCCGCCGCGUCGUCGUGGGAGGGCGUCUCCUCAGAGUCGGGUUGCUUGAGAGUGCAGCCCCAAGCGGGUGGUAAACUCCAUCUAAGGCUAAAUACGACCACGAGACCGAUAGCGAACAAGUACCGUGAGGGAAAGU
rnacentral:rRNA from 1 species